rnacentral:rRNA from 1 species
AGAAUCAACGCUGGCGGCGUGCCUAACACAUGCAAGUCGAACGCGAAAGGGGAGCAAUCCCUGAGUAGAGUGGCAAACGGGUGAGUAACACGUGGGUGACCUGCCUUCGAGUGGGGGAUAACGUCCCGAAAGGGACGCUAAUACCGCAUGACAUCCUGUCCUUGGAAGGACGGAGAUCAAAGCUGGGGAUCGCAAGACCUGGCGCUUGAAGAGGGGCCCGCGCCUGAUUAGCUAGUUGGUGGGGUAACGGCUCACCAAGGCUACGAUCAGUA